AAAUUGAAGAGUUUGAUCAUGGCUCAGAUUGAACGCUGGCGGCAGGCCUAACACAUGCAAGUCGAACGGUAACAGGAAGCAGCUUGCUGCUUUGCUGACGAGUGGCGGACGGGUGAGUAAUGUCUGGGAAACUGCCCGAUGGAGGGGGAUAACUACUGGAAACGGUAGCUAAUACCGCAUAACGUCGCAAGACCAAAGAGGGG
rnacentral:rRNA from 1 species